AUUGAACGCUGGCGGCGUGCCUAACACAUGCAAGUCGAGCGGUAACAGGUGUAGCAAUACAUGCUGACGAGCGGCGGACGGGUGAGUAACGCUUGGGAAUCUGCCUGUUAGUGGGGGACAACCCGGGGAAACUCGGGCUAAUACCGCAUACGCACUACGGUGGAAAGCCGGGGACCGCAAGGCCUGGCGCUAACAGAUGAGCCCAAGUCGGAUUAGCUAGUUGGUAGGGUAACGGCCACCAAGGCGACGAUCCGUAACUGGUCUGAGAGGACGACCAGUCACACCGGAACUGAGACACGGUCCGGACUCCUACGGGAGGCAGCAGUGGGGAAUAUUGGACAAUGGGCGAAAGCCUGAUCCAGCGACGCCGCGUGGGUGAAG
rnacentral:rRNA from 1 species